GUGCUCACUUCAGUCACACAUAUACUAAAAUUGGAAUGAUACAAAGAUUAGCAUGUGCAAGGAUGACAUGGAAAUUUGUGAAGCAUACCAUAUUUAA
rnacentral:snRNA from 2 species